rnacentral:sRNA from 1 species
CACUGCGUUGGUUGGACAUUGUUUAACGGCAGCGGCGCAGGGUGAGUCCCCUACUGUUGGAUCAGGUGCUGAAACAGGGGAAAGGGUGGCGAAGCCAGAGCCCUUGCAUCGAACGUCUGGCGGGU